rnacentral:rRNA from 1 species
GAUGAACGCUGGCGGCGUGCUUAACACAUGCAAGUCGAACGGAAAGGCCCAAGCUUGCUUGGGUACUCGAGUGGCGAACGGGUGAGUAACACGUGGGUGAUCUGCCCUGCACUUCGGGAUAAGCCUGGGAAACUGGGUCUAAUACCGGAUAGGACGAUGGUUUGGAUGCCAUUGUGGAAAGUUUUUUCGGUGUGGGAUGAGCUCGCGGCCUAUCAGCUUGUUGGUGGGGUAAUGGCCUAGCAAGGCGUUGACGGGUAGCCGGCCUGAGAGGGUGUACGGCCACAUUGGGACUGAGAUACGGCCCAGACUCCUACGGGAGGCAGCAGUGGGGAAUAUUGCACAAUGGGCGCAAGCCUGAUGCAGCGACGCCGCGUGGGGGAUGACGGCCUUCGGGUUGUAAACUCCUUUCGCUAGGGACGAAGCGUUUUUGUGACGGUACCUGGAGAAGAAGCACCGGCUAACUACGUG